rnacentral:rRNA from 1 species
GAUUCCCCUAGUAACUGCGAGUGAAGCGGGAAGAGCUCAAAUUUGAAAUCUGGCGGUCUCUGACCGUCCGAGUUGUAAUCUAGAGAAGUGUUACCUGUGCUGGACCNUGUAAAAGUCUCCUGGAAUGGAGCAUCAUAGAGGGUGAGAAUCCCGUCUUUGACAUGGAUGACCAGUGCAUCGUGGUGCGCUCUCAAAGAGUCGAGUUGUUUGGGAAUGCAGCUCAAAAUGGGUGGUAAAUGCCAUCUAAAGCUAAAUAUUGGCGAGAGACCGAUAGCGAACAAGUACCGUGAGGGAAAGAUGAAAAGCACUUUGGAAAGAGAGUUAAACAGUACGUGAAAUUGCUGAAAGGGAAACGCUUGAAGUCAGUCACGUCGGCUAGGAAUCAGCCUUGCUUCUGCUCGGUGUACUUUCUGGUUGACGGGUCAGCAUCAAUUUCAAUCGCUGGACAAAGUCUUUGGGAAUGUGGCAUCCUCGGAUGUGUUAUAGCCCAUUGUCGCAUGCAGCGGUUGGGAUUGAGGAGCUCAGCACGCCCCUCCACAAGGGGGGCCGGGUUUCGACCACGUUCGUGCUUAGGAUGCUGGCAUAAUGGCUUUAAUCGACCCGUCUUGAAACACGGACCAAGGAGUCUAACAUGCCUGCGAGUG